rnacentral:rRNA from 2 species
GCAGUCGAGCGGAUCUUCAUUAGCUUGCUUUUGAAGAUCAGCGGCGGACGGGUGAGUAACACGUGGGCAACCUGCCUGUAAGACUGGGAUAACUUCGGGAAACCGGAGCUAAUACCGGAUAAUCCUUUCCCUCUCAUGAGGGAAAGCUGAAAGACGGUUUCGGCUGUCACUUACAGAUGGGCCCGCGGCGCAUUAGCUAGUUGGUGAGGUAACGGCUCACCAAGGCAACGAUGCGUAGCCGACCUGAGAGGGUGAUCGGCCACACUGGGACUGAGACACGGCCCAGACUCCUACGGGAGGCAGCAGUAGGGAAUCUUCCGCAAUGGACGAAAGUCUGACGGAGCAACGCCGCGUGAACGAUGAAGGCCUUCGGGUCGUAAAGUUCUGUUGUCAGGGAAGAACAAGUAUCGGAGUAACUGCCGGUACCUUGACGGUACCUGACCAGAAAGCCACGGCUAACUACGUGCCAGCAGCCGCGGUAAUACGUAGGUGGCAAGCGUUGUCCGGAAUUAUUGGGCGUAAAGCGCGCGCAGGCGGUUCCUUAAGUCUGAUGUGAAAGCCCCCGGCUCAACCGGGGAGGGUCAUUGGAAACUGGGGAACUUGAGUGCAGAAGAGGAGAGCGGAAUUCCACGUGUAGCGGUGAAAUGCGUAGAGAUGUGGAGGAACACCAGUGGCGAAGGCGGCUCUCUGGUCUGUAACUGACGCUGAGGCGCGAAAGCGUGGGGAGCGAACAGGAUUAGAUACCCUGGUAGUCCACGCCGUAAACGAUGAGUGCUAAGUGUUAGAGGGUUUCCGCCCUUUAGUGCUGCAGCAAACGCAUUAAGCACUCCGCCUGGGGAGUACGGCCGCAAGGCUGAAACUCAAAGGAAUUGACGGGGGCCCGCACAAGCGGUGGAGCAUGUGGUUUAAUUCGAAGCAACGCGAAGAACCUUACCAGGUCUUGACAUCCUCUGACAACCCUAGAGAUAGGGCGUUCCCCUUCGGGGGACAGAGUGACAGGUGAUGCAUGGUUGUCGUCAGCUC